AAAUUAGCAAUCUGUAUAACCUGUAUGUGUUAGUAAUAUGGUCUAACGUCUCUACAACUAUCCAUUGUAAUUAGGUACUAUAGGUUAAUGUUUUUCCUUU
rnacentral:ncRNA from 2 species